CUGACCCCACACCUGUUCAUAUCGAUAGCAACACGAAUAUCUGUGGUCAUGAAACGAAUGUCUCGAUCUGCCAUUUGGUGAGUGCGUCUUUUGCGAGAGUUAAGCUGGGUAAAGCUUUCCUUGACUCACCCCUGGGAGCUGGGUCAAAGCUAGAAGCCCCAAGGUGAAGCUCCAGGCAAGGCGUUUUGCGUUUCGUCAACAGCAAAAAGAAGCAGUGACCUUCAGACAUACGACAACAGAGCCUUCACCAGCUGAGCCCUAUCGCCGCCGACAGAGCCCAGGAGUGCCAGCUGAGUUCCCCGCCGAGGAGAGUGCCAGGCACCCAACGGAGGUCAUUAGGCAGGCUGCAUCGGGGCCUCGUCUUUCUGAGACGCCCGGGAGAUGAGAUCUCUUGAAGGAGGCUGGAGAAGUCUUAUCGGCUGAGUACAUGAAUUAAUCAAGCGUCAUACAAAUCAUUUUGCACACACACAAAAACAAGAAUAAAGAAAAAGAAA